rnacentral:rRNA from 1 species
GUAGGUGGCAAGCGUUAUCCGGAAUUAUUGGGGCGUAAAGCGCGCGCAGGCGGUUUCUUAAGUCUGAUGUGAAAGCCCACGGGCUCAACCGUGGAGGGUCAUUGGAAACUGGGGAACUUGAGUGCAGAAGAGAAAAGCGGAAUUCCACGUGUAGCGGUGAAAUGCGUAGAGAUGUGGAGGAACACCAGUGGCGAAGGCGGCGUUUUUGGUCUGUAACUGACGCUGAGGCGCGAAAGCGUGGGGAGCAAACAGGAUUAGAUACCCUGGUAGUCCACGCCGUAGACGAUGAGUGCUAAGUGUUAGAGGGUUUCCGCCCUUUAGUGCUGCAGCUAACGCAUUAGGCACUCCGCCUGGGGAGUACGGUCGCAAAGACUG